AUUGAACGCUGGCGGCAUGCUUUACACAUUCAAGUCGGACGAUUGGCGAACGGGUGAGUAACGCAUCGGAACGUACCGAGUAAUGGGGGAUAACUGUCCGAAAGGACAGCUAAUACCGCAUAUUAUUCGAGCGGCCGAUGUCUGAUUAGCUGGUUGGCGGGGUAAAGGCCCACCAAGGCGACGAUCAGUAGCCGGUCUGAGAGGAUGAAAGGCAACACCGGGACUGAGACACGGCCCGGACUCCUACGGGAGGAAGCAGUGGGGAAUAUUGCGAAAGGGGGGCAACCCUGACGCAGCCAGGCCGCGUGAAUGAAGAAGGCCUUCGGGUUGUAAAGGACUUUUGUCAGGGAAGCGGUACCUGAAGAAUAAGCACCGGCUAACUACGUGCCAGCAGCCGCGGUAAUAC
rnacentral:rRNA from 1 species